GUCUCAUCAUCAAUCCAUUGAUCCCAAUUAGGAGUAUUGUAUAAUCCGCUGAUUUGACCCCACCCAGCGGCUGCAAGUUGCACCACAAAGUAUCUAAUUGUAUCUGCAGCACUAGUCUUAAGUCUUAACUAACCUCGAUCCUCGUUGAUUCCCUCUCUCUCUCCCACUCUCUUUGUACCUAAGUACAUGCUGUACCAGUACGACUGUACGAGUAUGCGUACCCAAUUGUUCUUAAUCCGCUGGCUGUGGACCUGUGAUGCAUACUCACAUGGCUAAGAUGUGGCCCCACCCGUGAAGCUACAAGGAGGCCAAACGGGCUCCAUCUGCAUGCAUGCAUGCUGCUGCUCAAAGUGAUAUACCAUACAUGCAUAUUAUCCACAAAUGGACUUAUGGACACAUACAUAUCACCCAUCAAUAAUGCCCUUCCAUUUCCUUCCUAGGUUUUUCCCCUUUCUACUACUAGUUAUCUGAAAAAGUGAAAGGAGGAAUUGUCGUCACAACCCACCGAAUCGGUGCCCCCAUAUGCCAGCCUCACCUUACCGCUCAAGCACCCUCCACCAUGCCUCCCCUUUCGAGCUCUCCCUCUCGCGCGGAUGGACACCGAGGACCAGGUAAGCGGCGCUCUUUCUCCAGCCAUCGGUUGACGCCGUCGGCGAUUCGAGUCUUCCUCUUCUCCGGCCUGUUUGGCGCCUCUCCUUCGAACUGCACUGAAUGUGUAUGUAAGUUCAAUGACCCCCUUCUAUGUACUCGUUCUACCUAUCUGUGAGCAUGUGAUAGGGUUAAAUCUGUGACCAUCUUAUGGCAUUGUACACUGCUGAUCCGUGAGAAUGUGAUGUUCUGGUAGCUAGUGGUGAUGGAUUUGUAGCAUGCUAGCUAGGAGUUGUUUUCUUGCCCGGAAGAAUUGAUAGCUUGUGGUGAUGGAUUGGUUGUAUGCAAGUAUGGAAGUAUCUGUUUUAGUUUGUUGAACUCCUUGGUAUGAUUUGAGCUGUUGUGUUGAACUAGAUGAUCUGUCAGUACAUGUGUAGUGUUUGUUCAUACUGUCCAUACGUAGUGCUCGUUCAUACUGUCCAUGUUUAGUACUCUUAUUAUGCUCGAUGUGUAGUGUUCUCCACUCUUGUUGAUGCCCUUGUCGUGUAGGACAUGAGCAGGCAAGAGUUCAGUCAGGCCCUUGUCGUGUCUCAGAGCCAUUUUCGCGCCAUCUUCAAGGAUUCUACGACAUGUGACCUUGGCUAUCGAUGACAAAUGCAAAAUCUAGACCGACCGUUGGAUCAAUGGUAGAUCCAUGGCCGAGAUCGCCCCUCUCAUCUUCGCGGUCACCUCUUGACGUCAUCACAAGAUACAUACUGUCCAAGAUGGCCUUCACCUACGUUCCAAGGUGCAGGAUAUCCACGGGGUGCUAGGACCACCCAUUGGAAGAUUACGUGGAGGCCAUGGGCCACUCUUCGCGUUGAAAUCUUCCUCUGGCUUGCCAUGCAGGACCGAUGUUGGAUGGUGGAACGCUUUGCCCGCCAAGGCCUACCCCAUGAGGCGACAUGUGCCUUCUGCGAUCAAGAACCAAAAACCAUGCAACAUAUCUCGCAGGUUGCUCAUUCUCCAGGCAGGUCUGACAUAAGAUUCUUGGUUGGGUGAGGGCUACAGUUGAGUUACCGACCUCACGGAUAGGAGAAUGGCUAUGCUCGACGUUCCCAUUGGUUGGACCUACACCUCUCUCGGAUGCGAGGAAUAUUGCUCUUCAUUUGAAGGAAGUAGGCAGAAGAUGCGAUGAAGGUGUCUCUUGUGCUAUCGCUGUCACGACGAUCGUGAAACUAGCAAUGGCGAGGAGAAUGAAACUCAACUUGGUUUGACCCAUAUCGUGGGAUAUAUUCACAAGUUGUUUGUGACCACACCUCGUGGGAAUGGUCUAUAUAUAUAUAUAGGAUUCACACCCUUGGAAAAUUGUGUACCAUUAAUGCUAGGAUAUUUUAGUGAAAUAUGAUCAUGCCGGUGUCACCACUUCUUUUCAAUCUCAAAUCUACAAUUAAUCUUGGUUUGCCCAUCACGCAAUUAAAAAUUAAUCUAAACAAUUACAGGUUUAGUUUUGUAUACACAUAGUUAAAUGGAUUUCAUACUAGGCCACUAGGGUCAUGGUAUUGUACAUUCGUACAUUAGUGGUUUUCACCACUUGACUCGAUUGGACAUUGGUAUUAGAAUCAUCUCUUUCAUCACGCGCUUCAUCCGCACCAUUAAAGCAAAUCAAAGAAAAAUAUUUUUUAAUAGAUCAUAAUGCGCCAGAUUUGCGUCAUUGAAGCAAAUCACGCGAAUCACAUGUAUAUCUUUAUUGCUCUUUUGUAUUAUUAUUUUCAUGAUUAUUGAUAAUGAAGUCGAUCCGGAGCAAGAAAUAUAUUUCUCGAUCUUGAAUGUUUUAAUUUUGGUGAUUUGUUUUAAUAAUGUAAAUCUGGCAGUUGAUGAGGCUUGCUACUGUGAUGCCAGGAAAAAUGGUGAAUAUCAAAGUAGUCUACAAAACACACAUAACUCAGUAUGUACGUGUAUAUGUGCUAUUUGCCGGCCCACAUGCGUGGUAGAACUGAUAGACCCCUUGAUAUAAACCCCUUCUCGUUCUCGUGUUGCAUUGAUGUCAAGGGGUGUACAAAGUACAAGGGGUAUAUUGACAUAUUGAUGGUAGGCAUGCCUAUUACCAAGGUAUAUAGAAGUCCUAGUCAGCUAAGUCCGUGGUGGAGUCCUCCUUGGAUGCCUUCUUCCUUGCCUUGGUCGCCAAUUCUUACAGAUCCCCUCUUCUUAAGGGCCCAUGGACCAGACUAAUGGUGCGAGGCCUCCAAUAACUUGAGCCAGCCUGUAUUCUUCUUUGAACUCGACAGCUUCUAGUCGGGGCACAUGUGAGCGUGUUGUAUUCUGCAAGGUUGACGAGGCCUUGAUAAUUCUUGAAGCGUACUGGUAGAUAGACUUUGGCUAACACGAUCCUGGAAGUCGGUCAUAUUAACUAGGAGCUGCCACCGCUAAGUUACGUACUGUUUCGUCCUUCACCCACGCUCGCUGCUGGCCUCCGACUCUGUUUUCUGGGUUGGGCGUAGACUUUACCAUUUGAACACUAAAAGGCCCGCUCCAAGCCCAUGGGCAUCUAUCGUUCAGGAUACACACUCUGCUCACAUCCACGUCUGGGAACCAACUUCAGCCCUACUAGGUUGUGCUAGGGAAUAGGGAUGAAAGGAUGCUGAGCGUGUAGGUUUUUUGCUGCUCGGAUUGGCCACAUUACAUCACAGAUUGCUCUCUGGAUCGAAAGGUUCUUCAACUUCUGCUUAGUAGGUCUCUUGCUCCUCGGAUUGGCUUCAAUUCAUUUUUGCAGCGGUCUCCUGCUUCUUCCAUUGGAAUAUUACAUCAAUGGAAUCCACUACAGCCGUUAAAACCAUCACUCUUGGUCAACAGAGUUAUAAGGUAUUUGGACGACUCUUGCGCCUAUGGGAUGCAAUAAACAUGAAAUCCAAGUUUGCAGAUCCUCUCAUCAGCAUUGAUGGUGUCCUUUUAGAUGAAGAUCAGGGCAAUAUGGAGCAGAUCAGUGUACCCAAAAAAUUCCAAAGACAAUUAUGCCCCUUACUCACAGAAGGACAUGUCUACAUCUUCAAUGAUAUUGCAGCUAUUGAUAUAAAAAACAAAACCCAUAUAUAUCACCACCAAAACUAUAUGUUGCAAUUCAAGCACAACACUAAGAUUCACCGACUUGAAACCAGAGGAACAAAUAUACCAAAGUUUUCCUUCAUUUUUUGUCCAUUUGAUAAUCUACCAAAAAAAGAUACUUUUGCAAAACCACUUCAAGAUGUAAUAGGAGUCAUUAGCCACGUUGGGCCAUUUGAUUAUGCAAGUCAGACAUCUACAAAUAAACUCAGGAAAAUCAAAAUUCUAAACCUAGAUGAACAGACACAAGAAAUACGUCUUUGGGGCCACCAUGGUGAAACAUUUGAUGAAGAAACAUUACUCAAAAAAUCACAAGAAGGCAUUGUAGUUGGCAUUUUUGCGGGUCUCACAGCUAGGAGCUUUCUAGGCAACUGCUCAAAUAUUCUUUCUUAAAAUGACUAUAAGAGCCAAAACUAAUACGACAUACAACCAUAUAUACAUAUAGGUGCCCUGCAUGCAUCCUCAACCUCUGCAACAAAACUUUACAUUGACUUGGAUACAUCUGAAGUUAAAAACUACCAAACCAGGUCAGCCAUUCUCCUUUCUCCUUGCAACUACUACCUUCUUUUUCCAAAAUCUAACAUGCUGACAUUUUUCCAAAAACUACCAAACCAGGUCAGCCACGACAACAACUACCUCAGGUUAUGCAUUUAUCUCCUAUUCAAGCAGCAGGGAAAAUGUACACACUUCAACAAAUAUCAGAUAUGCCCACCUCAAAUUUUUAGGUCAACAUCAUCUUAUCUACCCUAUUAUUUGUAUAUCAGUGAACUUCCAUAGCAGAUUCUCAGUGCACCCUUUUUGCAAACUCUUAGGAAGGAGCUACCUACAACACCAUUGCAAAAAUUAAAUCUAUUGUACCUUCAACUAAAUGGUACUACAAAGGAUGCAAACAUUGUGAUAGAGCAUACAACAACAAUUCAGAUACUCCAACAUGCCUUUGCACAAAUUCAUCUCCAAAGCCAUUGUACGAGCUACCAAUUACACUUAGAGAUGACUCAGGAGAUUUAGAUGCCAUUGCUUUCUCUAAAAUUGCUGAAGAACUGGUUGAGCGAGAUGCCAUCUAAGCUUCUCAAAACAUGAAAGUUGAAACCGCGGAACAUGUGACCGCCCUAGAUAAUGCCAUUGGGAAAACCAGAUUGUUCUACAUAGGAAUGAAGGUUGAUUUAGUAUCCAGAUUCCCAAUAAGUUAUGUCAUAAAGAAAAGCUUCCCAGUUGACAAUGCACAAAUGCUUCCCUCCAUAAAGGUUAGACAAUUUUCAUCAAUUCAGAAAUUAACUCCUUCCUAAUUACAACUGUAUUACGUAAAAUAUUUAAUUUAAACCAUUAAAUACUUCGAGUCAACUCCAAGCAAAAACUGGUGAACAGUCCAUCGUCAUCAAAGGGCAUCCAGAGGUUUUCCAUCAAUCACAAAAUAGAAGUUACACCCUCAGUCUACACAAUGUUUACCAAACUUUUCCUGUUCGCGGUCCGAGGAGCCUAAUAGAAAUCCACUUGGGCAAUAGUAUGCCUCCCCCUUGCCAUUCUGCAACUAUGGACACCGACAAAAACAUAAAUAGGUACUCUUCAGCAAAAAGAAGCAUCGAAUUUACAGAAGAUUGAGCCACCAACAAAGAGGGGUACUAAUUGAUAACA